AUAACUUCUUGGCUAUUUUUGGUUCAUCCUCUUUUUUUGGUUGUGAUUGCUUCCAACGGUCUUAUUUAUUUUUUAAGAUUCAGUGUUGUUCAGUGAAAAACUACGGAGUCUGGAGCCAGCUGCCGGGGUUGAAUCCAACUCUGCACUUAACAAGCUGAGCGCCUUGGGCAAGGUGCUUCACCUCUCUGUGCCCCCUAGUUUCCUCAUCUGUUAAAUGGGGAUGAUGAUGGUACCUGCCUCUCAGGAAGGAGUAUUGCCAGGGGUAUUGUUUCAAAACCUCCACAAAUACUCCGUGAAGGCUCAUGGAUCCUGUGAGAAAAGAAUUAUUAUUGCCAUCAAGGCUGUGUUCCAGCUGAGGAAACCUGGGCCUGGUUUCUUACUGGAGAAACUUAGCAACGUCACGUAGCUGACGUAAGUGCCAGAGCCUGAGUUUAAACCCACGGAAGCUAGGAAAAAGAAAAAGGAGAAGAAGAAAAAGAAAAGCCCACGGAAGCUGGCUCCGGAGGUCAUGCCCUUUGCCACGGCAUUAUUCUUCGCAGGCAGCACUCCCGUGAGCAUUCAGCUUCCAGAAUAAGCCUUUGCCAUUUUUAUUCCCAAUUCGGGGACAGAUGGUGGCACCAGACCCAGGAGGGCAGAGCCUCUGAGCUCCGCAGCAAACAGUGCCCCCAGGCCAAAGCGACAAGGCCACAGCUCUCCCUGGGCAAACCCGGUUAAGCAGACGUAGGAUGGUUUCCUUCCAAGAACGUCUCUCCUGUCCAUGUCCUUGUCAGUUUUCCCAUCAGGAAAAUGGGCAUGUGUAAUAUGCACCCGUGGCAAUAGCCGCAAGAACUAAUUAGCGCCUGGAAUGUGUGUCAAGAUCCCCGGCGAGAGGUGCUGUAAUAGGGGCAAAGGAUUCUCGCAUGAGUUCCAGUUUUGCCUCCUGUGGCCCGGUCCUCCCUGGGCGGGAGGUGGUGCCCCGUCUUGUUGAGAUCUGAUCUCUAAAUGCAACUGUGUGUUUUCUUUCAUCCAAAUGACUGUGCUCAUCUCGGGAGCAGCCUUUAAUUUUCUUCUUGGAACCGAGGACCAUCCUUACUUACAGCAACAAAAGGUCCCUGGGACGGUGAGGUAAGAUUUGAAUUAAGAUACCUUGGCAUCCUUCACUCCCCGGCAAUUAACGGGCAGCAGAUUUUCAGCAGCACUCACUCUCCUGAGAGCGCCCUUUGUCUCAGGACUGCCUGUCUGUCCUGUUGUCCGUCGUCCGAUGCAGCAGCCCCCCGGCGGCCGGCUGUCUGCAAGGUGCCAGGCAGGUGCACGGCGUGGCGGGGACCUCCGAGGGCCCAGCCUGAUGGGGAAGCCAUGUGGCUCUCAGACCCCCGUCUGCGUGGCGAACAUCACAUACAGCCGGGCCCCAGUGACUCCGAGGGGCUGGCUGUCCAGGCAGCCCGUUCUCCCCGUGUCUUCCUCACCCUCACCUGCCUCUGGGCCACCGUUGUUCAUUAUUAGCAUCCCUCUCCAGAGAAGAGAGAAAAGGAGAGAAGAGCCAACCUUUGCUUGUCCUUUUGGCUCCUUGUCAGCGACUCUGGUAAAUGUGUAAUCUGAUGGAACCAUGGUCCAAGAUGAGAAUUUGGACUCCUUCCCUCUCUCUCUGCCCCUUGCCAGGCAUGUGAACUCCUGUUGAGGCUUCAAGUCCCAGCCUUCCCCAAGGCCCCCGGGGCAAAGUGAGAAGUUAGUCACUCCCUCCCUGGCUGCCAGAGCCCGUCUCCAGCACUGAGAAGCACUCAGCACACCGUGUCGUGCGGGAUCACCAGGCCCCGUCUGUCGGCCGGUGCAGGGCGGGGGCGGGGAGGGGUGGGGAGAGGGGCUGCCGGCCUUCCUAGAGCUCCAGCCCCACACAUCUGGGCCCCGUCCUUGGCACGUGACUGGGGGUAAGAAAUGUGUGCUGAAUGGCGCAAAUAAACCCGAGUAGACCUGCUUUACCAUUUCCCCAGAAAAUCAGGAGUUAAUGCUUUGAGGGGAUUUUUGUCUGGAGUUUUCCCAGGGCUCAUUUGCUCGUGGUUUUUAAGAAAACAAUGUCACAGAAUUUCUAGAGGUGGGAAGUCCUUGAUCCUUCUCAUUGGCUUGACAGAUGUCUGUUGACUCUCCAUGAUGUUGCUAGUGCUGUUUUAGGUGCUGGAGAAGCGGCCACAGAAAAACCCCCUGCCCUCGGGACGCUCACAUUCUAGACACGAUAUUCUUCUCCCCCAUAAUUUCCUGCUCACUAUUCGCCUCUCUAGUCCUUUUCCCUAAAGGCAAUGAGCCAUCUAAACCGUGUCCAGCAAAUAAGCAGAAAUGCCCAGGGUGGCCCGCUUAAGUCCCUGCCAUUACGUGAGAAGCUUUUUAGGAGACUAGAUGUCAGAGGGAGGCGGUGACCUGGGAGCACAGAGGCAGGUGGUGGGACAGGGAAGGUUUGUCACCUCCUGGAGCACAGUGGCAGCCAAAGAUGGCCUCGGGAGGUCGUCGUGAUGUCUGGUUCUGAGCGGGGAGGCAGCACAGCAGACUGGCCCAGUCUGCUUCUGCCUGAGCCAGGUCUUUAAGGGGAAGGACACGGAGUUUAUCUAAAGUGCUGUGAAUUCCCACAGCCUCGGGCAGACCCAUAUUCCAACGUAAGCACAAAAACAAAUUCUAAAGCCAAGUAAAUGACUGGUGAUGAGCCACAGGUAUGUAUUAUCACGACCGACCGUUGCUUUUCCCGGAGAAUUCUCCCUGCGAGGGGAGGGGAUCCACCCCACAGCCGUGAUGUUCUGUCAGCUUUUCAGCAACCACUUUCGGUGCCUGGAACUGAAACGGGGCCUGGCAGAUAGGUCGGUUUGCACAGUCCAGAAGGGUACACUUCCCUGCAGGAAGGGGGUGUGCUGUGGACGAGGGGGGCCCUCUGGCCUUGCCGUCCUGAGGGUCAGCUUUUCAGCAACCAGAGCCAUGAUUGUAAAGGGAGAUCUUUGUGUGGACAGGAAGGCAAUAGUUUUUGGAUGAGCUGACGUGAUGAUUGAAGUCCUUUUGGCUUCCCUGGUGUCUGGGUGGAAAGAGAACAGGUGUGUGCCUUUGCCAAAAAUGACAGCCCACGAGGACUAUGGAUGCCCCGGGAACAGAGUCCUCCUGUGCCGGCCGUGAAUUCCUCAGAGGCUGGGAGGUCUGCGGGUGAAAGCCGUGGGGGGGCGGGUGCAGAUCUCUCCAAGACCUGGUUUCUAAGCAGUUGGUGGGAACAAGCGUUGAGAAAUGUUUCUACAUCUGCCCAGCCAUAUUCGCCCACGAGGACUACAUACCGUGACUUCUGUUUCGGAACAGUAUCCCCCGCUGCUGGCCAACUGAGGGGUUGUGGGCACACAGAGGCUUUCCUGACGAGGCCUUCUGGCUUCGUCCAGAGUGUCUCUGGCCUUGCCCUUUGUCCACCUCUCGCUGAGUGACAUCGUAUGUGGUUCCCUGUUUCUUCCCGAGGAAUGUGUGUGUGUGUGUGUGUGUGUGUGUGUGUGUGUGUGUAUGCACACGUGUGCCUGUGCGAGAGUGCACGCACGUUUAACCCUCUUUCGUGAGAGCAGCCAGGGCUCUUGCAAAGGCUUUCUCAGUGAGUGUAGAACAUUUGGAGAAACUCCACAUUCAGGGCGGGCUGUAGACGGGCCGGGCCGGGCCGGUGGGAGCCCUGAAGGCUUGCCGGGGGACCAGGGCAGGGGUGUCGCGGGCAGCCUGGGCCCCCGGCCAGACCAGGAGGGAGAGGCAACCUGGCGAUGGGACAUUUUUUCCCCCAAACAGCCUGCAUGCGGCUGCAUUCGAGACGGCUCAAAGUGACCCGGAGUCGGCAGUCCGCGCUGGGGCACCCGGGGGUGCUGGUCCCGUCCGCCUGCCGGUGGAAGUCCCCAGCACGCUGCUGGGUGCAGGAAAGGGCGUUUCUGCCACUCGGUGCCGUUCGAGCGUGGAUGUGGCAGGCAGCCUCGGAAUCAAGCUGACACGCGUCCCACGGCAGGACAACUGCAGCGUGAGGUUCUCAGGAAGGGCUGAGUGUGUGCAUGAGGUCACUGAGCUCUGUUACCGUCUGACCAGCCUCAGCCUGCGUCCCGGUGACACACAUCUGCUGACUGGACGGAUCGGGGCCUCGCGCUGUAGGCUGACUGGUGGGCCACGCUUGAAAGACUCCCGGCGUGUGCCCCUGCCUGCAUUUUUUCACUCUUGACCGAACACAUAUGCUCUGCACAAUCAGGACAGUGUUAGCAUGCGGGGCCGAGGCGGCUUCCUACACAUCUGGCCGGGGCGGGCUGAAUCACUUCCCCCCCGGGAGGGUGGCUCCCAGCUCCGUGACAUCUGGACAGUGGCAGGAAGUGUCUGGAUUCAUCCCAGGAUGAUUUUUAUCUCCACAUGCUUUUCCAAUUUCAUCAGGGCCUCCAUGCUACAUUCCAAGUGACAUGUCCACAUUCGCCACGGACAAGAAUGACAGAUGGGGAAAAAUCAUCUUUGACCCUUGAAAGUCGGUCAUGUUUUAUGAGUCCUUGACCUGAGCGAGUUCAUUUGUGAAAGGCGUUAAACGGCAGAGCUGACAGAGCGAUGGCAACUCCGUGCAAAGCGGGGACGGUUCUGGAAGGAGAUUCAGACAUUCCACACGGGAAGCUAGCGCGGUCCGUUCGCUCUGUGGCGUCUACGGAGACCUGCUGAAGGAACGGAACCUGCCGAUGUGCAGAAGGGCCGAACCUCCUGGGAAGGGCUGCGUCCCAGCCACCCCACCGAGGCUGGCCGCCAUCAGGGCCCGGUCGGGGGCCUCGGCGUAGUAAGGGAAGUACUUACUAACAACGGGUGGGGAUGGGCUGGGAGGAAAACCUGAUGGGACUCGUUCAGCCUUGUCCAGGCCACACCCAGUUUAGUCAACGACUUCUGAACCCGGAGAACGUAAAGGAACACAGUGGAGCUUGGACCGAGGGCUUUGAAAUAAAAAUGUCAACACGCUCCUGCGAGCGUGGCCCAAUCCCGUCCUCUUCCAGGAGAGAAAUGCCCCACGUGGCCAGGCUGGUCCUGAAAAGGAGCCCCGUCCUACAGACACCUGACUGUUCUACUGAAGGAACAGCCUGCCGGCCUGAUCUGCUUCCUCCCCUUGAAACAGAGGAACCGGGACUGGCUGACCCGCUAAAGCUGUGUCAGCAGGAAUCAGAGGGAAUCUGUUUUUUGCCAGGAUGGAAUUGAACCUCCACAGGCAUGCGCUGUGGCGGCAUUUAAAAAUACGUUUUCUAGGCGCCUGAAACGUAAACGCAGGUAAAAUAAAUAAAAGCCAAUUAACAAUAGCAUCUGGGGAGACACCGCUUGGGGAAAAAGAGAGGGGAACGUAGGGGAAAUCCGUGGGAACUACACAGCCAAUGGCUUCCUGAGGCCCGGCUUUGACAUCUUCUGAGAACCUUCCGCGGCCUCGCAGGCAAUGUUAGCACAGGUGGGGUUUGCAAACCCGUAUCCCAUGGGCCAAAUCCGGCCCACGGCUGUGUUUCGUUGGCUUCAGUGGCGUGUUUGUUUUCUAAAAGUGGAAAAUCUGCAAACAGGACGUGUGUUUUCCAGUUUACCGCGGUCCUCACUACUCCCAAUUGUCUUACGCAGGCUUGUCACCUGGCCUGCCAGGCCUCUGUGGCCAUGAUGCCCUGGACUCCAGUUCUCAACCUUGGCUGCCCGUCGGAAUAAUGCAAGCGGGCUUUGGAAAAUACCCGUAUUUGGGUCCCACCACACCCC